rnacentral:rRNA from 1 species
UGGGGAAUAUUGCACAAUGGGCGCAAGCCUGAUGCAGCAACGCCGCGUGAACGAUGAAGGUCUUCGGAUCGUAAAGUUCUGUUGCAGGGGAAGAUAAUGACGGUACCCUGUGAGGAAGCCCCGGCUAACUACGUGCCAGCAGCCGCGGUAAUACGUAGGGGGCUAGCGUUAUCCGGAUUUACUGGGCGUAAAGGGUGCGUAGGUGGUCUUUCAAGUCGGUGGUUAAAGGCUACAGCUCAACCGUAGUUAGCCUCCGAAACUGGAAGACUUGAGUGCAGGAGAGGAAAGUGGAAUUCCCAGUGUAGCGGUGAAAUGCGUAGAUAUUGGGAGGAACACCAGUAGCGAAGGCGGCUUUCUGGACUGCAACUGACACUGAGGCACGAAAGCGUGGGUAGCAAACAGG